CCCCCCCCCCCCCGGCCCCAUAUCAACCUCAUCUUUUCAUAUUCAUACCCCAAAUCCUCAAACUCCCUCGCGAAUCUAGCAAAAAUUGAAAUCCUAGCCACCCUCAUUCCCUCAAAAUUUCUCGAGUUUUAGCCGUCCCCACACUAUAACACUUACAUAAAUGGAUAGAUCUCAAAAAUAUAUAUUCAUUCCUACCAAUUUCACCCCUAAAAGCUCCACCAUUGUCGAGCAGUCGCCGCCUCUGCCACCAUUAUUGUUGCUCCUAAAACCACAUUAGCCCUCUAUUUUAAAAUAUAUUCGACCUAAGGACACUCGUUUCCUUUUGGUAUGACGCUCAAUUCAUUAAAUUUAGUGUCUACCAAAAUGAAACGAGCGUUCCAAGGUCGGAAAGUUAUUGUUCGAGGUCCUCGACCCCUCUUCGCUGCCCAAUAUAGCCUUGAAUCCCCUGUUGUAGUUCCCCUUCUAUUUUUCUGAAUUUUUGCUUUUGUAAUUGGGUUUAGGUUUAGUUUAAUUGUAUACUCUUUCCGUUUUAAUUUAUGUGAACUCGUUUGAUUGAGCAUCAAAUUUAAGAAAAGAGACAAGAUUUUUGAACUUGUGGCACAUAUAUUUUGUGCGGCUAUAAAUUAUUGCAUAAAGAAAAAUU
rnacentral:lncRNA from 1 species